GGAGGUAUACCGUAACUGGUAGCGGGGCAGCCUGUAAAGCUGUUGCCUUUGGGUUCUGGAAGUUCGAGUCUUUCUCUCCCCA
rnacentral:tRNA from 1 species